rnacentral:tRNA from 1 species
GGCUCGGUAGCUCAGUCGGUAGAGCAAACGGUUGAAGCCCGUUGUGUCGGCGGUCCGAUUCCGUCCCGAGCCACUA